rnacentral:rRNA from 1 species
UACGUGAGGUCCGAGCGUUGUCCGGAUUUAUUGGGCGUAAAGAGCUCGUAGGCGGCUCAGUUAGUCGGAUGUGAAAACUCGGGGCUCAACCCCGAGACGCCAUCCGAUACUGCUGUGGCUUGAAUCUGGUAGGGGAGCACGGAAUUCCUGGUGUAGCGGUGAAAUGCGCAGAUAUCAGGAGAACACCGGUGGCGAAGGCGGUGCUCUGGGCCAGUAUUGACGCUGAGGAGCGAAAGCGUGGGUAGCAAACAGG